rnacentral:rRNA from 1 species
AGUGAACGCUGGCGGCGUGCCUAAUACAUGCAAGUCGAACGGAGAUUCAGUAGCUUGCUAUUUAAUCUUAGUGGCGCACGGGUGAGUAAUAUAUAGCUAACUUGCCCAUUACUAGGGGACAACAGUUGGAAACGACUGCUAAUACCUUAUACUCCGUAUCUAUAUAAGUAGAUACGGGAAAGUUUUUCGGUAAUGUAUAGGGCUAUAUCGUAUCAGCUAGUUGGUAAGGUAAUGGCUUACCAAGGCUAUGACGCGUAACUGGUCUGAGAGGAUGAUCAGUCACACUGGAACUGAGACACGGUCCAGACUCCUACGGGAGGCAGCAGUAGGGAAUAUUGAUCAAUGGGGGAAACCCUGAAGCAGCAACGCCGCGGGGAGGAUGACACUUUUCGGAGCGUAAACUCCUUUUCUUGGGAAAGAAUUAUGACGGUAACCAAGGAAUAAGCACCGGCUAACUCCGUG